rfam:Lactobacillus fermentum CECT 5716, complete genome.
AUAAAUUGAAGAGGCGCAACCAACAUGAGUAGCUACCAAGAGCCGGGUCAGGCAAGGAGGGGGAGUGAAAGGGGCGGUUGCCGAAGCACGGGGAAGUGACCGUUCCCUGGGGCUGGGGCGUGGCUUAAGAGGCUGCGGACUGUCGCGGGACAAUGAGAGCCUGCGGUGCGCUAUCAAUUAC